GAUCCUGGCUCAGGAUGAACGCUGGCGGCGUGCUUAACACAUGCAAGUCGAACGAAGCUGCUUAAAGGAAGUCUUCGGAUGGAAUUUAGGUAGACUUAGUGGCGGACGGGUGAGUAACGCGUGGAUAACCUGCCUUAUACAGGGGGGAUAACGGAGAGAAAUUUCCGCUAAGACCGCAUAAGACCACAGCACCGCAUGGUGCAGGGGUAAAAUAUUUAUAGGUAUAAGAUGGAUCCGCGUCCGAUUAG
rnacentral:rRNA from 1 species